rnacentral:rRNA from 1 species
UACGUAGGGUGCAAGCGUUAAUCGGAAUUACUGGGCGUAAAGGGCGCGUAGGCGGUUGGAUAAGUCAGCUGUGAAAAACCACGGGCUUAACUCGUGGCCUGCAGUUGAGACUGUCUGGCUUGAGUGUGGGAGAGGAGAGUGGAAUUCCUGGUGUAGCGGUGAAAUGCGUAGAUAUCAGGAGGAACACCGGUGGCGAAGGCGGCUCUCUGGACCACAACUGACGCUGAGGCGCGAAAGCUAGGGGAGCAAACAGG